GAUGAAGAACGUAGCGAAAUGCGAUAAGUAAUGUGAAUUGCAGAAUUCAGUGAAUCAUCGAAUCUUUGAACGCACAUUGCGCCCGCCAGCAUUCUGGCGGGCAUGCCUGUUCGAGCGUCAUUUCAACCCUCGAGCCCCCCCGGGGGCCUCGGUGUUGGGGGACGGCACACCAGCCGCCCCCGAAAUGCAGUGGCGACCCCGCCGCAGCCUCCCCUGCGUAGUAGCACACACCUCGCACCGGAGCGCGGAGGCGGUCACGCCGUAAAACGCCCAACUUUCUUAGAGUUGACCUCGGAUCAGGUAGGAAUGCCCGCUGAACUUAAGCAUAUCAAUAAGCGGAGGA
rnacentral:misc_RNA from 1 species